CAAGGACAAGAUGGCUGCUGGUGUGGCCACUGUUCCUCACAAAAUGGCCACCAUGGUGACCUGCCCCCACUGCAUUUCACUGCCAGUACAGACACUAUAAAAAGUUCAGCUGGCUUCUUCUAAUUUUGCCCUUCCUCAUGCCAGGAGUUUAUUCUCUGUGCUGUUACAAAUGCUCUCUGCCUGCUGCAGGGGAGGCAGGCCUGGCACUUCCCUUUGGGGUGCCUCCCACGAGGACAGUGUAAGGAGGGAAGAUCACAGGCUCCCAGCCUCACUGGAGCCUUCCCUCACUGCAAAGAAGGUUUGUUUUUUUCUUGUUAAGAUGGAAGAGCCAACCACCUGUUAGGAUGUGCUGACACCUGGCCAGCUUCUGUGUGCCCAGACAAACCCCUGUGUGCUCCCCAUGGGAAUGGGCCACAUCCACUGUCACUACAACAGGAAUGGAAGCCCCUUGUUCUCAUUUCUCACCCCUUUCAAGGACCAGGCAGAAAUCCUUAUGAGAUGUAGAGAGAUCCUGCUAUCAUUUACAGCCCUCCUGAGACCUCCGUUAGAGCAUCAUUGUCAUCCACAAUUAAGAAAGACCAAUUCUAACUGAAAGAAUAAUGAAGGCCAACACAGUGAUGUUAUAUGAAUGGAGAACCUGUCUUUAAGUGGAGGAAGUAAAAGAGUUUGGCUUAGGAAAACAAAGACUAAAUCUUGUAUGGUUACUUGGCCUAAAUAUAUAGCACCUAGACUCCAGAAAGAUACAAAUACUAAAUGUGGGUAAGGAACAAUGAGUUAUUUACUGACUUGGAGGGCUGAAAAUUGAAAGGUGAGUCAUUAGAUUUUGGAGUAAGAGAAAAUAGAGAUGUGACAAUGGAUAAGACAG